rnacentral:rRNA from 1 species
UGGCGGCGUGCUUAACACAUGCAAGUCGAACGAGAACGGAUUAUAGCUUGCUAUAAUUGUCAGCUAAGUGGCGCACGGGUGAGUAAUGUAUAGAUAACCUGCCCUUAAGAAAGGAAUAACAGUUGGAAAACGACUGCUAAUGCCUUAUAUGCCUUUAAUACAUAAGUAUGCAAGGGAAACGCUUUAGUGCUUAAGGAUGGGUCUGUAUGGUAUCAGUUAGUUGGUGGGGUAAUGGCCUACCAAGACAAUGACGCCUAACUGGUUUGAGAGGAUGAUCAGUCACACUGGAACUGAGACACGGUCCAGACUCCUACGGGAGGCAGCAGGUGGGGAAUUAUUGCACAAUGGACGAAAGUCUGAUGCAGCAACGCCGCGUGGAGGAUGACACAUUUCGGUGCGUAAACUCCUUUUAUAUAGGAAGAUAAUGACGGUAC